rnacentral:misc_RNA from 1 species
UUUCCGUAGGUGAACCUGCGGAAGGAUCAUUAUUGAAUGAACUUGGCAUGAUUGUAGCUGGUCCUUUCGAGAGCAUGUGCACAUCUGUCAUCUUUAUCUUUCCACCUGUGCACCAAUUGUAGGUCUAAAAAAUUUUCCCCGAGACACUCGGGGGAGCAUGGGGCGUUGCUGUGUGUUACCACCAGCUUGCCCUGCAUUUUCUAGAUCUAUGUUUUCACAUACACCAUAAAAUGUAAUAGAAUGUUAUUAUUGGGCUUUUAUUGCCUAUAAACUAUAUACAACUUUCAGCAACGGAUCUCUUGGCUCUC